UUCAUUGGAAACAAAGUUUACCAUAGGCUCCAAAAGUAGUGACAUAAUGGAAAUAAAUGUGGAAGUUCGGGGACUAGUUAGGGGGAAAAAAUUCCAGCUUCUACCUUCUCCCUCACAAGGAUACUUGGCCUUGAGCCACGAAUCAAUUCAUUGAACUAACUCAAAUGGGGAUGCACUUAUUACUGAUGCAGCUGGUUCCCUGAGAAGACGAUCCCUUAUAAUUCAUUGAGAUGCUUGGCCAAAUUCAGUAUGGUGUUCAAGGUUCUCUAAUUUGGAGAAAUUAACGUGCAUAAUCACUGCAUUAUUCAUGUUUGGAUGUCUACACUUCAGUCUUUUGGCAGUGAGAAGAUGAGUUAAUCUUGCACUCUCUGUAUUUCACUGUCAUGAAAUUUUGGUGAAAUUCAUUUCUUGUUUUUCUCUAUCUAUUAUUAUUCGUUUUUCUCUGAUAUAUUUGCAGAAAUCCCAUUAGUUUCUGUGGAUUUAUUUUUGAAUUGAUUUGUGAUGUUAGAAAGAUGAAUUAAUCUUUUCAGUUA